GUCCAGCAGGACCUAACGCCUAUGUGUUUUAUAAAGCAGGGCUUCUACGGCUGAAACCCCCUUAUCUCUCUCUUUUUAAGGAUUAGGAAAACGCCCUUACUAUGAGUUCUCUCACGGAGCCUCUCCCGAAGCACCUGCUCCCCUUCUCUCUCCUCUGUAACCCCUCUAUCUUUUAUCUAUGAGUUCUCUCUCUUCUCAAACCCUAAACCCCCAUCGAUGUGCCCUCUCUUCGAGCCCUAGACUUCAUUUCCAGAAUUGUUUCUAUAUCAAAUAUGAUAGACACACCAGCUGACCACCAUCAAGUUAUUGGAGAGACAGUGAGGUCAUCCAAGGCAUGAAAGGACCCAGAGUAGUAGGUCCUCUCCAUUGAUGUCCAUCCUUCAAAUCAAUGGUGUUAGGCUGGUUACUACCCUAUUUAGAUUUACACUAAGGCAUUGGCGUUAUCGGAAAAAUAGUUUGAUCGCACAGUUCCUAGAAGAUGGACACAGACGUGGACGUGGAUGCAGAGGACGACUCCGCGGACACAACAAUGGGCAUGAAUAUUAGUGAAACUUUAAUCUCUCGCAUACCAUCACUCCAAUCUCUCUCUAAAUCCGUAUGGCUUUUUGAGGUAAGACUUCAUCUAUCGCACACCAUCUCUCCAAUCUUUCACUCUUUAAAUCUCUAUAGCUUGUUGGGGUAAAAUCUCCUCUCGUACACCAUCUCACCAAUCUUUCUCUCUUUAAAUCCCUGUGGCUUUUUGGAGUAAAACUUCAUCCCUCGUUCACUGUCUCUCCACUCUUUUUCUCUCUAAAUCCAUAUGUUUUUUGGGUAAAACCUCAACCAUCUCUCCACUCUUUCUAUCUCUGAAUCCCUGUUUUUUUUUUGGGGUAAGAGUUCAUCUCAAACCCUUGCUCUCUACCCUACUCGUACCCGUCUCUUAAAGCCCAAGACAAUACAGGGAAAACCAAAUUCUCAAGCAUCAUGUAUGAUUUUUAUGUACAUGAUUUUUAUUUUUCUUUUCCAAUGGAUUUCUUAGGUGCAUUGUAUACUUUUUCCUUUCGAAAAUCGAUCUUAGAGACGAUCUAAGAUACAUUAAAGUUACUCUUGAUGGCUACUUAAAUAUAAACAUGGGAACUUUUUUUUUGUUUCUUAUAUUACUUUCUUUGUCUAUUUCCAAAAAAAAAAAAGGUAGUAAUUUGUGAUAUCAGAAUGAAGAGCUUAUCAGAAUAAAUUGCAACAUAAUUUAUUUCAAUUAUACUGGAAUAAGGGUUUUAUACAAUAAGAGCAUUUUCCUUUGUCAAAAUCUAUUAGCAUAGGUAUUUCACAAAUUCAAUUGAAAUUUCUUUCGAAGUUUGAACUUGGUCAAUGCAAUAAUGUAGCCAUCUAGUUUCACAUCCACAAUGAGAAACAAGAUUGGCACAAGUUGUAACAAUUGACAGCAAUCAAUAGCAAAUACUAAGCAACAUUUUAAAUCUUAAUUUUUUCCCACAAUUGUAAUAUUCAAGGCCAAAUAAUUUGAUGCAAAAAUUUUCUAAUACUUGAAUUACAAUUUUAGAUGAGUUAUACCCAAUGGUUUAAAAAAAGGAUCGGUGACCCGGAUCGGGC